rnacentral:lncRNA from 1 species
UUUAGGGUAUAGGUUUUGAGUUUAUGAUUUACGGUUUGGGUUUAGGAUUUACCGUCUGGAUUUAUGGUUAAGGUUUUGGGUUUAGGGUAUAUAAUUUGGGUUUAAGGUUUACGGUUUCGGUUUAGAGUCUAGGACUUGGGUUUAGGAUAUAGAGUUUAGGUUUAUAGUCUUGUUUUUGGGUUUAGGGUAUAUAAUUUGGGUUUAGGGGUUUGGAUUUAUGUUUAGGGUAUAGGGUUUGGGUUUAGGAGUUUGGAUUUGGGUUUAGAAUUUAGGGUAUAGGGUUUAGAAUUUAAGAUUUAGGGUUUAGGGUUUAGCUGGAAGCGUUAGCGUCGUUAAAAUUAGCGUUUUUUUUGUAACUAUUUUUUAUUUAAUUUAAUAUUUUUUAAUUAAUAAUUUAUGUGUCAUUUUAAUUGGUUGUAAAAAAUAAGGUGAAUUUAAAAGUUUACGGGUGAAUCUAAGUUCUCUCCUUUAUUUACCAGACCAGAAGCAAUAGAAGAUUCUAUGGUCUACACACAUAAUGC